rnacentral:rRNA from 1 species
AUUGAACGCUGGCGGCAGGCCUAACACAUGCAAGUCGAGCGGAUGAAGGUAGCUUGCUACUGGAUUCAGCGGCGGACGGGUGAGUAAUGCCUAGGAAUCUGCCCGGUAAUGGGGGAUAACGUUUCGAAAGGAACGCUAAUACCGCAUACGUCCUACGGGAGAAAGCAGGGGACCUUCGGGCCUUGCGUUAUCGGAUGAGCCUAGGUCGGAUUAGCUAGUUGGUGAGGUAAUGGCUCACCAAGGCGACGAUCCGUAACUGGUCUGAGAGGAUGAUCAGUCACACUGGAACUGAGACACGGUCCAGACUCCUACGGGUGGCAG